UGAAUUCCGAGACAACACAAAUGGCAUUACCAGCUUAGACAACUAUUCAUUGGACAGCAACAGCCUCUAUGUAGAUGGUUAUCAUGAAACAACACCUUUACCAACAUUACCACCAGCAUUGACAACAACACACACUCCAAAUGUGACAGAAAAGCCCAUUGAAUUUAAUGUGACCUUCACAAUCACCAACCUUAAGUUUUCACAAAGU